UACGUAGGGGGCAAGCGUUGUCCGGAUUUAUUGGGCGUAAAGAGCGUGUAGGCGGCCAGACAGGUCCGUUGUGAAAACUCGAGGCUCAACCUCAAGCUGUCGGUGGAAACCCCUUGGCUAGAGUCCGGAAGAGGAGAGUGGAAUUCCUGGUGUAGCGGUGAAAUGCGCAGAUAUCAGGAAGAACACCAAUGGCGAAGGCAGCUCUCUGGGACGGUACUGACACUGAGACGCGAAAGCGUGGGGAGCAAACAGG
rnacentral:rRNA from 1 species